GAUGAAGAACGUAGCGAAAUGCGAUAAGUAAUGUGAAUUGCAGAAUUCCGUGAAUCAUCGAAUCUUUGAACGCACAUUGCGCCCUCUGGUAUUCCGGGGGGCAUGCCUGUCCGAGCGUCAUUGCAACCCUCAAGCGCGGCUUGUGUGUUGGGCCUUCGUCCCCCGUGGACGUGCCCGAAAUGCAGUGGCGGCGUCGUGUUCCGGUGCCCGAGCGUAUGGGGCUUUGUCACCCGCUCAUGGAGGCCCGGCCGGCCCCGGCCAACCCCCAAUCGAGGACUCGUUCCACCACCAAGGUUGACCUCGGAUCAGGUAGGGAUACCCGCUGAACUUAAGCAUAUCAAUAAGCGGAGGA
rnacentral:misc_RNA from 1 species